UGGGGAAUAUUGCACAAUGGGCGCAAGCCUGAUGCAGCGACGCCGCGUGAGGGAUGGAGGCCUUCGGGUUGUAAACCUCUUUCGCCAGUGAAGCUGGCCAUCUUCUUUGUGGGGUGGUUGACGGUAGCUGGAUAAGAAGCGCCGGCUAACUACGUGCCAGCAGCCGCGGUAAUACGUAGGGCGCGAGCGUUGUCCGGAAUUAUUGGGCGUAAAGAGCUCGUAGGCGGCUGGUCGCGUCUUUCGUGAAAUCCCCUGGCUUAACUGGGGGCUUGCGGUGGGUACGGGACGGCUGGAGUGCAGUAGGGGGGGCUGGAAUUCCUGGUGUAGCGGUGGAAUGCGCAGAUAUCAGGAAGAACACCGGUGGCGAAGGCGGGUCUCUGGGCCGUUACUGACGCUGAGGAGCGAAAGCGUGGGGAGCGAACAGG
rnacentral:rRNA from 1 species